rnacentral:rRNA from 1 species
UACAGAGGUCUCAAGCGUUGUUCGGAUUCAUUGGGCGUAAAGCGCGCGUAGGUGGUUUGUUAAGUUGGAUGUGAAAGCCCCGGGCUCAACCUGGGAACUGCAUUCAAAACUGACAAGCUAGAGUAUGGUAGAGGGUGGUGGAAUUUCCUGUGUAGCGGUGAAAUGCGUAGAUAUAGGAAGGAACACCAGUGGCGAAGGCGACCACCUGGACUGAUACUGACACUGAGGUGCGAAAGCGUGGGGAGCAAACAGG